AGAGUUUGAUCCUGGCUCAGGAUGAACGCUGGCGGCGUGCCUAAUACAUGCAAGUCGAGCGAACCAAAAAGGAGCUUGCUCCUUUACGGUUAGCGGCGGACGGGUGAGUAACACGUGGGUAACCUGCCCUCAAAACUGGGAUAACAUCGAGAAAUCGGUGCUAAUACCGGAUAAUCAAUAAGACCGCAUAGUCUUAUUAUAAAAGGUGGCUUCGGCUACUAUUUGAGGAUGGGCCCGCGGCGCAUUAGCUAGUUGGUAAGGUAACAGCUUACCAAGGCGACGAUGCGUAGCCGACCUGAGAGGGUGAUCGGCCACAUUGGGACUGAGACACGGCCCAAACUCCUACGGGAGGCAGCAGUAGGGAAUCUUCCGCAAUGGACGCAAGUCUGACGGAGCAACGCCGCGUGAGUGAUGAAGGUUUUCGGAUCGUAAAACUCUGUUGUUAGGGAAGAACAAGUACCGUUCGAAUAGGUCGGUACCUUGACGGUACCUAACCAGAAAGCCACGGCUAACUACGUGCCAGCAGCCGCGGUAAUACGUAGGUGGCAAGCGUUAUCCGGAAUUAUUGGGCGUAAAGCGCGCGCAGGCGGUUUCUUAAGUCUGAUGUGAAAGCCCACGGCUCAACCGUGGAGGGUCAUUGGAAACUGGGGAACUUGAGUGCAGAAGGGGAGACUGGAAUUCCUGGUGUAGCGGUGAAAUGCAUAGAUAUUAGGAAGAACAUCAGUGGCGAGGGCGGCUCUCUGGACUGCAACUGACGCUGAGGCACGAAAGCGUGGGGAGCAAACAGGAUUAGAUACCCUGGUAGUCCACGCUGUAAACGAUGAGUGCUAGGUGUCGGGGGUCAUACCUCGGUGCCGCAGUUAACGCAUUAAGCACUCCACCUGGGGAGUACGGCCGCAAGGCUGAAACUCAAAGGAAUUGACGGGGACCCGCACAAGCAGCGGAGCAUGUGGUUUAAUUCGAUGCAACGCGAAGAACCUUACCAGGGCUUGACAUCCCUCGGACCGGACUAGAGAUAGUCCUUUCCCUUCGGGGACUGAGGUGACAGGUGGUGCAUGGUUGUCGUCAGCUCGUGUCGUGAGAUGUUGGGUUAAGUCCCGCAACGAGCGCAACCCUUGCCUUUAGUUGCAAACAGUUUGGCUGUGCACUCUAGAGGGACUGCCGAUGAGAAAUCGGAGGAAGGUGGGGAUGACGUCAAAUCAUCAUGCCCUUUAUGUCCUGGGCUACACACGUGCUACAAUGGUCGGUACAACGGGUUGCCACCUCGCGAGAGGGCGCUAAUCCCACAAAGCCGAUCCCAGUUCGGAUUGUAGGCUGCAAUUCGCCUACAUGAAGCUGGAGUUGCUAGUAAUCGCGAAUCAGAAUGUCGCGGUGAAUACGUUCCCGGGUCUUGUACACACCGCCCGUCACACCAUGGAAGUUGACAAUACCCGAAGCCAGCGAGCUAACCGUAAGGAGGCAGCUGUCGAAGGUAGGGCCAAUGACUGGGGUGAAGUCGUAACAAGGUA
rnacentral:rRNA from 1 species